GACGAACGCUGGCGGCGUGCUUAACACAUGCAAGUCGAGCGGUAACAGGUGUAGCAAUACAUGCUGACGAGCGGCGAACGGGUGAGUAAUGCUUCGGAAUCUACCUUAUGGUGGGGAAUAACUAGCCGAAAGGUUAGCUAAUACCGCAUACGUCCUACGGGAGAAAGCAGGGGAUCGUAAGACCUUGCGCCAAAAGAUGAGCCGAAGUCGGAUUAGCUAGUUGGUAGGGUAACGGCCUACCAAGGCGACGAUCCGUAGCUGGUCUGAGAGGACGACCAGCCACACUGGGACUGAGACACGGCCCAGACUCCUACGGGAGGCAGCAGUGGGGAAUAUUGGACAAUGGGGGAAACCCUGAUCCAGCGACGCCGCGUGUGUGAAGAAGGCCUGCGGGUUGUAAAGCACUUUUAGUGGGGAUGAAAUGUGCAGGGUU
rnacentral:rRNA from 1 species